rnacentral:rRNA from 1 species
ACUAUCAUUAACUGAAUCCAUAGGUUAAUGAGGCGAACCGGGGGAACUGAAACAUCUAAGUACCCCGAGGAAAAGAAAUCAACCGAGAUUCCCCCAGUAGCGGCGAGCGAACGGGGAGGAGCCCAGAGCCUGAAUCAGCAUGUGUGUUAGUGGAAGCGUCUGGAAAGGCGCGCGAUACAGGGUGACAGCCCCGUACACAAAAGCGCAUGUGCUGUGAGCUCGAUGAGUAGGGCGGGACACGUGGUAUCCUGUCUGAAUAUGGGGGGACCAUCCUCCAAGGCUAAAUACUCCUGACUGACCGAUAGUGAACCAGUACCGUGAGGGAAAGGCGAAAAGAACCCCGGCGAGGGGAGUGAAAAAGAACCUGAAACCGUGUACGUACAAGCAGUGGGAGCACCCUUUGGGGUGUGACUGCGUACCUUUUGUAUAAUGGGUCAGCGACUUAUAUUCUGUAGCAAGGUUAACCGUAUAGGGGAGCCGGAGGGAAACCGAGUCUUAACCGGGCGUUAAGUUGCAGGGUAUAGACCCGAAACCCGGUGAUCUAGCCAUGGGCAGGUUGAAGGUUGGGUAACACUAACUGGAGGACCGAACCGACUAAUGUUGAAAAAUUAGCGGAUGACCUGUGGCUGGGGGUGAAAGGCCAAUCAAACCGGGAGAUAGCUGGUUCUCCCCGAAAGCUAUUUAGGUAGCGCCUCGUGAAUUCAUCUCCGGGGGUAGAGCACUGUUUCGGCUAGGGGGCCAUCCCGGCUUACCAACCCGAUGCAAACUGCGAAUACCGGAGAAUGUUAUCACGGGAGACACACGGCGGGUGCUAACGUCCGUCGUGAAGAGGGAAACAACCCAGACCGCCAGCUAAGGUCCCAAAGUCAUGGUUAAGUGGGAAACGAUGUGGGAAGGCCCAGACAGCCAGGAUGUUGGCUUAGAAGCAGCCAUCAUUUAAAGAAAGCGUAAUAGCUCACUGGUCGAGUCGGCCUGCGCGGAAGAUGUAACGGGGCUAAACCAUGCACCGAAGCUGCGGCAGCGACGCUUAUGCGUUGUUGGGUAGGGGAGCGUUCUGUAAGCCUGCGAAGGUGGCCUGUGAGGGUUGCUGGAGGUAUCAGAAGUGCGAAUGCUGACAUAAGUAACGAUAAAGCGGGUGAAAAGCCCGCUCGCCGGAAGACCAAGGGUUCCUGUCCAACGUUAAUCGGGGCAGGGUGAGUCGACCCCUAAGGCGAGGCCGAAAGGCGUAGUCGAUGGGAAACGGGUUAAUAUUCCCGUACUUGGUGUUACUGCGAAGGGGGGACGGAGAAGGCUAUGUUGGCCGGGCGACGGUUGUCCCGGUUUAAGCGUGUAGGUGUGUGUUCCAGGUAAAUCCGGAACAUCAAGGCUGAGGCGUGAGGACGAGGCACUACGGUGCUGAAGCAACAAAUGCCCUGCUUCCAGGAAAAGCCUCUAAGCAUCAGGUAACAUCAAAUCGUACCCCAAACCGACACAGGUGGUCAGGUAGAGAAUACCAAGGCGCUUGAGAGAACUCGGGUGAAGGAACUAGGCAAAAUGGUGCCGUAACUUCGGGAGAAGGCACGCUGACACGUAGGUGAAGUGAUUUACUCAUGGAGCUGAAGUCAGUCGAAGAUACCAGCUGGCUGCAACUGUUUAUUAAAAACACAGCACUGUGCAAACACGAAAGUGGACGUAUACGGUGUGACGCCUGCCCGGUGCCGGAAGGUUAAUUGAUGGGGUCAGCGCAAGCGAAGCUCCUGAUCGAAGCCCCGGUAAACGGCGGCCGUAACUAUAACGGUCCUAAGGUAGCGAAAUUCCUUGUCGGGUAAGUUCCGACCUGCACGAAUGGCGUAAUGAUGGCCAGGCUGUCUCCACCCGAGACUCAGUGAAAUUGAACUCGCUGUGAAGAUGCAGUGUACCCGCGGCAAGACGGAAAGACCCCGUGAACCUUUACUAUAGCUUGACACUGAACAUUGAGCCUUGAUGUGUAGGAUAGGUGGGAGGCUUUGAAGUGUGGACGCCAGUCUGCAUGGAGCCGACCUUGAAAUACCACCCUUUAAUGUUUGAUGUUCUAACGUGGACCCGUAAUCCGGGUUGCGGACAGUGUCUGGUGGGUAGUUUGACUGGGGCGGUCUCCUCCUAAAGAGUAACGGAGGAGCACGAAGGUUGGCUAAUCCUGGUCGGACAUCAGGAGGUUAGUGCAAUGGCAUAAGCCAGCUUGACUGCGAGCGUGACGGCGCGAGCAGGUGCGAAAGCAGGUCAUAGUGAUCCGGUGGUUCUGAAUGGAAGGGCCAUCGCUCAACGGAUAAAAGGUACUCCGGGGAUAACAGGCUGAUACCGCCCAAGAGUUCAUAUCGACGGCGGUGUUUGGCACCUCGAUGUCGGCUCAUCACAUCCUGGGGCUGAAGUAGGUCCCAAGGGUAUGGCUGUUCGCCAUUUAAAGUGGUACGCGAGCUGGGUUUAGAACGUCGUGAGACAGUUCGGUCCCUAUCUGCCGUGGGCGCUGGAGAACUGAGGGGGGCUGCUCCUAGUACGAGAGGACCGGAGUGGACGCAUCACUGGUGUUCGGGUUGUCAUGCCAAUGGCACUGCCCGGUAGCUAAAUGCGGAAGAGAUAAGUGCUGAAAGCAUCUAAGCACGAAACUUGCCCCGAGAUGAGUUCU